rnacentral:rRNA from 2 species
UGCUAUACAUGCAAGUCGUACGCUUCUUUUUCCACCGGAGCUUGCUCCACCGGAAAAAGAAGAGUGGCGAACGGGUGAGUAACACGUGGGUAACCUGCCCAUCAGAAGGGGAUAACACUUGGAAACAGGUGCUAAUACCGUAUAACAAUCGAAACCGCAUGGUUUUGAUUUGAAAGGCGCUUUCGGGUGUCGCUGAUGGAUGGACCCGCGGUGCAUUAGCUAGUUGGUGAGGUAACGGCUCACCAAGGCCACGAUGCAUAGCCGACCUGAGAGGGUGAUCGGCCACAUUGGGACUGAGACACGGCCCAAACUCCUACGGGAGGCAGCAGUAGGGAAUCUUCGGCAAUGGACGAAAGUCUGACCGAGCAACGCCGCGUGAGUGAAGAAGGUUUUCGGAUCGUAAAACUCUGUUGUUAGAGAAGAACAAGGAUGAGAGUAACUGUUCAUCCCUUGACGGUAUCUAACCAGAAAGCCACGGCUAACUACGUGCCAGCAGCCGCGGUAAUACGUAGGUGGCAAGCGUUGUCCGGAUUUAUUGGGCGUAAAGCGAGCGCAGGCGGUUUCUUAAGUCUGAUGUGAAAGCCCCCGGCUCAACCGGGGAGGGUCAUUGGAAACUGGGAGACUUGAGUGCAGAAGAGGAGAGUGGAAUUCCAUGUGUAGCGGUGAAAUGCGUAGAUAUAUGGAGGAACACCAGUGGCGAAGGCGGCUCUCUGGUCUGUAACUGACGCUGAGGCUCGAAAGCGUGGGGAGCAAACAGGAUUAGAUACCCUGGUAGUCCACGCCGUAAACGAUGAGUGCUAAGUGUUGGAGGGUUUCCGCCCUUCAGUGCUGCAGCUAACGCAUUAAGCAGGUCUUGGGAUUCAGUUGGGCACUCUAACAAGACUGCCGGUUAUGACCUGGGCUACACACGUGCUACAAUGGG